CCAAAUUCACUUGACUUUACUUGGGCCUGAGAUUUAGCCCACGCCAAGCAAAGAACAUCCCUAUCCUCUUUACAGAGUGGGCUCAUAAUCUGGCCCAUUUGCAUUAAUAUCAUUUAAACUAUAACCAAAAUAUAAUCAAACAUCCUGACAUAACUGUUCUUGAAUCCCAGCAUAUGAAUUUUAAAAAAAACUAAUUAGUUACAGUCUUCCAAAAAUAAACAAUAAAUACCUUGCAUUUGGACUUAAUGUAUAAUCUAACUAUAUUUGAAGCUAAAACUAUUACAACUUCCAUUUCAUGAAGGAUCCGAGCUUCUUUUGAACUUGAUUUGUCCACAACAACCUGAUUCCAUUUCCAAGCUUUUAAAACUGCUGAUUUGGCCAAUUAGUAGCCAAAUCCACAUGUAUCAGCUUACAACCAAACAUAUGAAAACAAAGAAAAGGAUUUAGAUAGAAGGAGAAGUUGUCUACUUAACAAAGGCAAGAGAACUGAUUUCAAAACCUCACAAUCAGUCUUAAUGGCUAGAAGAUCUGACUAUGGACGUAAACAAAACUAACUUUGCAAAACUGAAAUUCAUAAGGCAAUCAAAUAUAGACCAGCUUGUUCAUGUUCAAAGUGUAAACUCAUAUAUUCAAGGUUUAACUACAUUUAUGUCACUAUAGGCAAACUACUUUCAUGAAAGGGACAUUCACUUGCAUAAACACCAUUCAUAUUUCUGAACACCAAACAUUACAUGAAGAAGGUGAAGUUCAGUACCUUGCACAACAACAACUAAAAGGUGCAAAAAACUGGCUGAAACUUUAAAAAAAAUGGAGCAGCAGCAGGACAGGAGCAACAGCAACCAAAAACCUCAAAAUUUCAGACCCAAGACUAGCUACUUGAACCUAGAGAUAACCAGCUAGAUAACCCAUAAAAAGUCUCUAUUUCAAACCAUUUUUCAACUUGUGAACCAAAAAAAAAAGAAAGUGUUGGAAAUUUUCUGAGGUUUCCUAAAGCCUGAAAAGGGUACUUUUGCGUAGCCUAAUGCUU
rnacentral:lncRNA from 1 species